rnacentral:rRNA from 1 species
UACGAAAGGUGCAAGCGUUACUCGGAAUCACUGGGCGUAAAGCGCACGUAGGCGGACUCGUAGGUCAAUUGUGAAAUACCUGGGCUCAACCCGGGAACUGCGUCCGAUACUGGCAGGCUUGAAUUCGGGAGAGGGAUGUGGAAUUCCAGGUGUAGCGGUGAAAUGCGUAGAUAUCUGGAGGAACACCGGUGGCGAAGGCGGCAUCCUGGACCGAUAUUGACGCUGAGGCGCGAAAGCGUGGGUAGCAAACGGG